GAGAGCCGGAUGCGGGAGAUCUGCAUGUCCGGUUCGAUGCGCGGGGUGCGGAAACGGGGUUAAGGCCAGGAUAUUCGGGCACCGCCAGACGAAAGAGGCGGAAACAGACAAGCUGAACCUAAUGCUAAGUGUUCACGAAAAUCUGAUUUGAAAAUCUGAGCCGAAU
rnacentral:autocatalytically_spliced_intron from 1 species